GUGAGCUUUCGAGCUUAAACGGACGCGGUAAAUCGUGCAAAGGUAGCUAAAUUACGGCCUAUUAAUCGUAGGUCCUGUGAACGGUUCACGAGCCUCCGACUGUCUCUAUCCUGUUUUGGUGAACUUGAAUUGGACUGCAAACGCUUCCUUAAAAAAGAAAGACGAGAAGACCCCGUGAAGCUAGAAAUUUUAGCUACAAGCGUUAGGUUCUCGGGCCGAUAGGCCGGUUUAAUUGGGUAAGUUAGUGCCCUAAUAAAGUGAGUUAGUGUGGUGAUAGUUUAGGCUGGGGCAGCAAAAGAGCAAGGCAAGACUCUUUUCGACAUAAGGCGGGUGCGCUACGAUCCACAGGUUUUAUUAAUGUGAUCAGCAGAAAAGUUACUCCGGGGAAACAGCGUUAUCCGUCCCGAUAGUUCUUAUAGAUGGGCGGGUUUGCGACCUCGAUGUUGGCUCUGGGUAUCCUUAGGCUUGGCAGGCGGUCUUUAGGGUGGUUCGUUCGCCCAUUAAAACCCG
rnacentral:rRNA from 1 species